GGUGUGCGAUAGACUUGCCUCCACGUGGCACACACUGGGCAACGUACCUUCGUACGGCAAAAAAGUCUAU
rfam:Hymenolepis nana genome assembly, scaffold: HNAJ_scaffold0000475